GACGAACGCUGGCGGCGUGCCUAACACAUGCAAGUCGAACGGGAAAGCCCGCAAGGGUGAGUACAGUGGCGCACGGGUGCGUAACACGUGGGUAAUCUGCCCUGGAGCCCGGAAUAACUCCCCGAAAGGGGUGCUAAUGCCGGAUAAGACCACGGGGACUUCGGUCCCUGAGGGAAAAGGUGGCCUCUGUAUACAAGCUAUCACUCCUGGAUGAGCCCGCGGCCCAUCAGCUAGUUGGCGGGGUAACGGCCCACCAAGGCUACGACGGGUAGCUGGUCUGAGAGGACGAUCAGCCACACUGGAACUGAGACACGGUCCAGACUCCUACGGGAGGCAGCAGUGGGGAAUCUUGCGCAAUGGGCGAAAGCCUGACUCAGCAACGCCGCGUGGAGGAUGACGGUCUUCGGAUUGUAAACUCCUGUCAUCCGGGAGUAAGACCUGGCUGUGAAUAGCAGACAGGGUUGAUAGUACCGGAAGAGGAAGGGACGGCUAACUUCGUGCCAGCCGCCGCCGUAACAC
rnacentral:rRNA from 1 species